rnacentral:rRNA from 2 species
CAGGAUGAACGGCGGCGGUGUGCCUAAUACAUGCAAGUCGAACGCGUUGGCCCAAUUGAUUGAUGGUGCUUGCACCUGAUUGAUUUUGGUCGCCAACGAGUGGCGGACGGGUGAGUAACACGUAGGUAACCUGCCCAGAAGCGGGGGACAACAUUUGGAAACAGAUGCUAAUACCGCAUAACAACGUUGUUCGCAUGAACAACGCUUAAAAGAUGGCUUCUCGCUAUCACUUCUGGAUGGACCUGCGGUGCAUUAGCUUGUUGGUGGGGUAAUGGCCUACCAAGGCGAUGAUGCAUAGCCGAGUUGAGAGACUGAUCGGCCACAAUGGGACUGAGACACGGCCCAUACUCCUACGGGAGGCAGCAGUAGGGAAUCUUCCACAAUGGGCGCAAGCCUGAUGGAGCAACACCGCGUGAGUGAAGAAGGGUUUCGGCUCGUAAAGCUCUGUUGUUAAAGAAGAACACGUAUGAGAGUAACUGUUCAUACGUUGACGGUAUUUAACCAGAAAGUCACGGCUAACUACGUGCCAGCAGCCGCGGUAAUACGUAGGUGGCAAGCGUUAUCCGGAUUUAUUGGGCGUAAAGAGAGUGCAGGCGGUUUUCUAAGUCUGAUGUGAAAGCCUUCGGCUUAACCGGAGAAGUGCAUCGGAAACUGGAUAACUUGAGUGCAGAAGAGGGUAGUGGAACUCCAUGUGUAGCGGUGGAAUGCGUAGAUAUAUGGAAGAACACCAGUGGCGAAGGCGGCUACCUGGUCUGCAACUGACGCUGAGACUCGAAAGCAUGGGUAGCGAACAGGAUUAGAUACCCUGGUAGUCCAUGCCGUAAACGAUGAGUGCUAGGUGUUGGAGGGUUUCCGCCCUUCAGUGCCGGAGCUAACGCAUUAAGCACUCCGCCUGGGGAGUACGACCGCAAGGUUGAAACUCAAAGGAAUUGACGGGGGCCCGCACAAGCGGUGGAGCAUGUGGUUUAAUUCGAAGCUACGCGAAGAACCUUACCAGGUCUUGACAUCUUGCGCCAACCCUAGAAANANGGGCGUUUCCUUCGGGAACGCAAUGACAGGUGGUGCAUGGUCGUCGUCAACUCCGGUCCUGNNAAUNUUUGGGUUAAGUCCCCCAACGAGGGCAACCCUUGNUACUAAUUGCCACCAUUAAAUUGGGGAAUCUAAUGGGAAUUGCGNUGACAAACCGGAAGAAAGGGGGGG